ensembl:lncRNA
CUUUGGGCCAUGCCUGCGGCAUAGGGAAGUUCUCAGGAUAGGAGUAGAUCCCACACCACAGCAGCAAACCGAGCCACAGCAGUGACAACGCUGGAUCCUUAACCUGCUGUGCCACCGGGGAGCUCCCAUCCUUGAUUUUUAAUCAUACACAACGGCUACUCAUUUGCCCAGCUCCUCUCCCCAAAAAGUUGGUGCAAAACUCCGAUUUAUUAAGUCUUUUCAUUACCUUCCAACGGGAAGAGCAUCUCUUUGGCUCCCCUACUGCAGCUGGCACUGAAAACCAACCAACCAACCCAAACCCCCAAACACCUGGAAGCUUUGGUCCUGGCAUGAAAUCGGUUUCCUUAAAGGCUGCUCCGUCUCUGGGACUGAAACGCGACGGCCCUCGGGGUGGGGACAGCCUGCGUUUCCUUGCUGCCUGCAGUUUUGACUUCGGUGGGGUUUUUCAGACUUAAGAAGACAAAUGCCUAAAAGGGGGGAGGGGCUACUGAGAUCCAGGGGCGGGUUAUGAGGUCCCAGAGGCUGAACUUGGAUGGGCAGGAAAGCAUAACAUUUUUGGAAAGGUUUUAGGAAAACCACCUGCAUCCUCAGGAGAGGCACUGGGCUUGGCAUUUUAAAGGUAUCAUCUCACAAAACCCCUCACCACUCCGCGGGUGGGCACCUCUGUUGCUCCCACCUUCACAGGUGGAAGACCAAGGUUCGGGGUGAAGCCACGAGCUGGCUGGCAGCAUCAGACGGGGUACCGCCUGCAGAGUCACCAGCCGACUCCCCUGCAUGUCCCCCAGGAGUUGACCGUUCCUAAAGGGCCUGUUCCAGAACUUCCAGGAGGGGGGAAGAAAUACUGUCACUGGUCUCCUUUCCUGGGGGUGGGCACCUGUCUCCAGCCAGAAUGGCCCCAGGAGCUCAGGCUCCUUCUGUUCAACAGGCCCCCGCCUGUCUUCUGGCUGCAGAGGAAGAGCCCGAUGGGAGAACUGCCGGUGCUGAUAGGACCACCCACGGUUCCAAGAGCCCAACCGCUCCUGGGGCCCACCAGGAGAGAAGCCUCCUUCACUUCCCACCCAGACACUUGGCCCAACUUCACUUCCUCAUGUCCCAUCUGUCCCCUUGCCAGGACCGGGCCAGGCUGUCUCUCUCGAGAGCCCUUUUCUGUACGACUUCUAUUUUGGCAAAAGGCCUAUUGGCCAAAAAAGAAAAAUAAAAAGGCAGCCAGACUUCCAGUGACAGAAUAGCCAGUAUCUUUUGCAAGACCAUGGGAGGGACCAAAUAUUCAGACACAAAGGACAAUUUCCUGUCAGCCGGGGGCGUGGUUGGUUAGUUUUUAAUAUUCUAGAGUCAGAAUCUUACAUGGACAAUCUUCUUCCUGUUACUGGGGUGAAAGGAAAUCUCUUUCGGCCUUGGCCUUGUGGGUCCUGCGUUUUCCUUCCUAACCCUGGAGGCGACUAAAGGGGCUAAAGGAAAGGAACGUAGGAGGGGGUGACUGGCAACAAAGCACCCUUUUCAGACACCUGUUUCUUCAUGAGCUAUUAGGCACCUGCGAGGUAUCGUGAGGCAGUGUUUCAAUGUUUCUCGUCCCUCCCCUGGCGCCUGCGCUGAGACCAAGUGCUUUCAUCACCUCGCAGAUGGCUUGCUCUCUGACCCCAGGGUCCUCCUCUCCCUCCGUUCUCGCUCACCUCCUUCCCUGAUGUCCUGGCAGCACCCCCAGCCCCACCCCGCAGCUCCACCGGCCCGCCUCCUUCCUCCUGGGCCUUCCCCACAGCCCGGGUCACAUCAGCAGCCCUGACACUUUCCUGUGUGUUGUUCCUCCCCUCCUACUAGACUGUAGACUGCCUGAGGGUGGACUCUGUCCCUUUCUUCCUUGCUCUGUCCCCUGCACCUAGAGCAGGGCCUAGCACGGAGCAGACACUCACGGAUAAGUUAGGCACACAGCACCGCUGUUAAAAGCAAAAGCCUUGGAACCAGAUUGAUUUGGCUCCCAGUUCUGACAAGGAAUCCCUGUGUGAUUCUCAGCAAGUGACUCAACCGCUCUGGGCUUAAGUGGGGAUGACAGUGUAACUCAGGUCCCAGGGGGAUCAUGAAGAUUAUCUGAAUUAACAUUUUCAAAGCAUUCAGAAGGGUGCCUGGUACAAAGUAAACACAAUAUAGUGUUUACCGGAGUUCCCCUCGGUGGCGCAGCUGAAAUGAACCCAACUAGGAACCAUGAGGUUGUGGGUUCGAUCCCUGGCCUCACUCAGUGGGUGGAAUCCAGCAUUGCCGUGAGCUGUGGUGUAGGUCGCAGACGCAGCUCAGAUCCUGAGUUGCUGUGACUGUGGUGUAGGCUGGCGGCUAUAGCUCCGACUGGCCCCCUAGCCUGGGAACUUCCAUAUGCCGUGGGUGUGGCCUUAAAAAGCAAAAAAAAAAAAAAAGGUGUUUAUUAAUACUAUUUAUUUGAAGGAAUGAAAAUUGCACACACACACACAUACACACACACACUCACUCCUGCCAGGGCCAGGCUGAUAAAACAAACAAGCAAGUCUUUAAAUGAUGAGCACGUAGAAGACCCACACCCACGGUGCUGAGUGGGAGCCAGUGCAGACACCCGAGGUUUCAGUGGUAGUCAGAGAGGGCUUCCGGGAGGAAGGCACAGCUGGGCUGAUCCGUGAAGAAUCACCGGGAGACCACUGGGUGUGUGAGGAGAGCGCCAGACUUGUGAGGACCCCCGAACUGGGCUCAGAGAAGAUCUACCGCCUGUCGAAGGCAGGGAAGGAGCUCCUCCAUCCUCAGGGGAGGCACGGGGAGAAAAGGGUCAAACAAGCACAGGCCUGCAUCAGUUCAUGGACUUGUCCCCACAACUACUGUUGGGAAGGUGCUCUUUUUCGUUCCCUGAAAGGCCAGAAAACAGGCUCAGAACCAAAAACAGGUUCAGGUCCUGUGGUGAGGUCACACAGAAAGGGACCAAAGGGUGCAAAGCCCCAGGCGCUGUGUGUCCCCACUUGCUAGUCCCGGAUCUCCAGUCUUCACCGCUGACCCCCUUUUUCCUUUAAGAAGGCCCACUUCAAAACAAAACAAAACUGUAACAGCUAUUUUUAAAAAAAGGAUAGUUUGCAUGACUGCUCUGAAUGGAAGCCCGUUUUCACCCACCAUCCUUAGAAGGCAACUCUAGAGAAAGGCAAUGAAACAAACAACACUGCGUUUCUUGCACGAGUCUGGCCUGCAGUGUGACAUGGAGGCCUGCACUUCGGGUCGGAUAAAAAGGCGUGGCAGCAAGUGCGGGGAGGCGUUAAAGACAGCAGCACCCGCCAAGCCUUUCUCCUCGGCCCGGUGAGGAGGCUCCAAUGUGACUUCAAAAGAGAACAACUCUAAUGGCCAGGGGAGAACUUGGAUACCAAGCCCAACCCCAUCUCCACUCCUCUCAGAUACCAACACAGUACUGGCGGACGCUCUGCGAACCUGGGAUCCGCCGGAGACUGUGUGUGACCUUGGGCAGAUCGCUAUACCUCCUCGAGCCUCAGUUUUCCCGACUGUCAACUGGGAGAGUGCUUCCUUGGCUCGUAAAGAUUUGGGACCUGAGGACUCUGGAGGUGCUCGGUCUCGGGCAGCUGCGCUUGCAAAACUCUCCUUUGGAGGAGAUGGACCCGCGAUCGAGGCGCCCGGGGAUAGGGGUGGGGGUGGGGAGGCUUACCUGGCGGCCGUGGCAGUUCCUGCGGGCU